UGAAUGAAAAAUAGACUCACAGCAGGCUAUAUUAACAUCCGUCCCUAAAACAGAAAGACAUGUGAUGAAAGAACCAAACAGACCAAAAUAUGAUCCUAGUUUAAGAACAUUAGUCACUGUCUUUCUAUUCUCUGAAAACUCACAAUUAUGUAUGGAGAAAUUUCAAUGGGGGUCUUCCUGAUUUAGGAACCAUUUCUAGUAAUAUUAUAAGACUGUUUGCAGUUUGGACAAAAAAUGUUCAGGGUGUUUAUGAGAAGAUCAUGAAUAACUCAAAGUCAUCAAAACUCAAGAUUUUCAAUUUGCCACCUAUAUUUUUUACUAUUUCAAUCAAGUCUACAUAUAAAAUAAGGGGAGGUUACUCCAACAAACCCUAUACUUAAAAUAAAAACUUCAAGAGUUAUCGAGGAAAAACCACAAUUUCUGAGUGGAAUACUCUAUGACUUCCGAAAAUCAUAGAAAGAAACUAAAAAGGGAUGUUUCGAUAACUAAAUUCGAUAUUUCAUGAAUUAACAUGAAAUCAGAGACAACAAUUGAAAUAUCAAAUUUAGUUAUCAAAACAUCGACAUUUAGUUUCUUUAUCUUGUUCGGGUUCACCAUUGGAAAAUGAGAUAGAUACCACACUCUUGGACCUCUUCUUGUCAAUUUUUGUAUGUAUUGUUCUACAAAUGGUCUUCAAAUUUUUUCUGGUAUUUUUUCUUUAAUUUGGAGGCUUUCUUGAAUUUUUUUCCGAACAUUGUAAUCUAUGUAUUGCUUGUCCUUUAUUUUUUGGUAUUCGAGUAUUUUCACUACGCCACAGUAGAUUGAUUUCACACCUGUUCUCAAUUUUUUUUAUAGUAUUAUUCAUAAUUCUCAAUAUUUGUCCUUCCCCAAAAUUUUCAAAUUCAGAAACACUUCUUGUGUCCCACAGUGAAUCAGUUUCAUAAAAAUAUAUUGAAGUAAAUAUGUACCUAAAAAUAUCAGAAAACAAACUCCAAAAAACGUGAAACAAGGAUCAGAGUAAUAAUGCUUAGGUGCCAAAACUUGAAUUUCAGUAGGUAGAUACAGAAAAUAAUACAUAUUCUCCUUAAUCAAGAAUCACUCAAAUAUAUUUCAUUUGUUAAAUGGAAGAUUUAGGAGAUUAGAGAAUGCAGAUGAUGUUCUUGUGCAGUUCCAUUAUGAUCCAGUUAGCCAGCUAAAUAGAAAAUUUCUUACCUGCACCUUUUCAUAUGCAAAUAAAUAAAUUUAUUUCUACGAAUAUUAGUUAUCUACGAAUAAAACCUGCAAUGUAAAAAAAAAUUCAUUUAUUCGCAUAUGAAAAAACCAGCACUCAAUAUAUUAUAUAUUCAUUCAAUUAUGGGUUUGAAUUUGCUCAUGCUUAUAGAUUUAUUAGUUUUAUAUAUACCAAGAAAUUUUUAUUUUUUCUUCCUUAGGAAAUAUCAAUGAUUUCCCCUUAAAAUGAAGGGCUACAAAUUAUUUCUUGUGUAGGCUUGAUUAUCUCACAGUAAAAUGAUAAGUGAUAACAUAAAAAAAAAGAAAGUUAAAGCUUCAUAUAUUUCUCACAACAUUAUUUUACAAUUAUAUACAAAUAUAUAAUAAUAAUAAAUAAAUAAAAUAAAA